UUAUACGCCCGUUUAUGACGGGACGUAUUAUGGUAUACCCCGCGUCCGUCCGUCCGUCCGUCCGUCUGUUAAUGUCGUACGCUACGUCAAAUAUCCUUUGACAGAUUUUCUUCAAAUUUUAACACAAUCUUAAUAUUGAUAAACCCUGAUCCCCUUUCGUUUUUGACGGAAUUCUGAAUUGUCGUUCCAGAGUUAUGGGACUUUGUUCGUCAAAAUUUCGUGAUUUCAUUGAAUGUCCUACUGUAGCUAUAUAAAAAUGUUAAAGUUGUUAUAACUUUGGUAUGCUUGGACCUAGAGUCUUGAAACUUGACAUGAAGGUUGGCCAGAACUAGUAAGUAACCACUGGACAUUUCAAGGUCAUUCAUUUGAAGGUCAAGGUCACUGUGACCUUGAAUGUAAAAAUGUUAAAGUUCUUAUUUCAUGUUAUAACUUUGGUAUGCUUGUACCUAGAGUCUUCAAACUUGAAAUAAAGAUUGGCCAGUACUAGAAGAUGACCACUGGUCAUUUCAAUGUCAUUCAUUUGAAGGUCAAGGUCACUGUGACCUUAAAUGUUAAAAUGUUAAAAUUGUUAUAACUUUGGUAUGCUUGGACAUAGAGUCUUCAAACUUGACAUGAAGGUUUGCAAGCACACUUAGAUGACCACUGGUCAUUUCAAGGUCAUUCAUUCUAAGGUCAAGGUCACUGUAACCUUAAAUGUUAUUGUUGUUCAUGUAUCCUACCGUAGCUCAAAUAUCCCCCGAUGGAUUUUUUAUACGCCCGUCUAUGACGGGACGUAUUAUGGUAUACCCCGCGUCCGUCUGUCCGUCCGUCCGUCCGUCCGUCCGUCUGUUAAUGUCGUACGCUACGUCAAAUAUCCUUUGACAGAUUUUCUUCAAAUUUUAACACAAUCUUAAUAUUGAUAAACCCUGAUCCCCUUUCGUUUUUGACGGAAUUCUGAAUUGUCGUUCCAGAGUUAUGGGACUUUGUUCGUCAAAAUUUCGUGAUUUCAUUGAAUGUCCUACUGUAGCUCAAAUAUCCUUCGAUGGAUUUUUUUCAAAUUUCAACACAAUCUUAAUAUUGAUAAACCCUGAUCCCCUUUCGUUUUUGACGGAAUUCUGAAUUGUCGUUCCAGAGUUAUGGGACUUUGUUCGUCAAAAUUUCGUGAUUUCCAUGCUCAUGUACUUAUAAAAUAAACCAUGUAUUCAAAUACAAAUAAACUGAAGUAAAAAAAUGA